rnacentral:rRNA from 1 species
AACCUUUACAAUGCACGAAAGUGUGAUAAGGGAAUCCCAAGUGCUUUGCUUUUAGUAAGGCUUUUGCCAUGUGUAAAUAGCAUGGCGAAUAAGUGGUGGGUAAGACUUGUGCCAGCCGCCGCGGUAACACCAGCGCCACAAGUGGCAACCGAUUUUAUUGGGCCUAAAGCGUUCGUAGCCGGUUCAGUAAAUUUUCUGUGAAAUCGUUGCACUCAAUGUAACGGCAUGCAGGAAAGACUACUGGACUUGGGACCGGGAGGCGUUAGAGGUAUUCUUGAGGGAGCGGUAAAAUGCUAUAAUCUCAGGAGGACCUCCAGUGGCGAAGGCGUCUAACGAGAACGGAUCCGACGGUGAGGAACGAAAGCUAGGGGAGCGAACCGG